rnacentral:rRNA from 1 species
UGCGAGCGUUAAUCGGAAUUACUGGCGUAAAGCGUGCGCGGCGGUUCGCUGUGUCCGAUGUGAAAGCCCCGGGCUUAACCUGGGAAUGGCAUUGGAAACUGGCGGGCUUGGUGUGGCAGAGGGGGGUGGAAUUCCGCGUGUAGCAGUGAAAUGCGUAGAGAUGCGGAGGAACACCGAUGGCGAAGGCAGCCCCCUGGGCUAACACUGACGCUCAGGCACGAAAGCGUGGGGAGCAAACAGGAUCAGAUACCCUGGUAGUCCACGCCCUAAACGAUGUCGACUGGGUGGGGAAGUCCUGAGUACCGUAGCUAACGCGUGAAGUCGACCGCCUGGGGAGUACGGCCGCAAGGUUAAAACUCAAAGGAAUUGACGGGGACCCGCACAAGCGGUGGAUGAUGUGGAUUAAUUCGAUGCAACGCGAACAACCUUACCUACCCUUGACAUGUCCGAGAGCCUGAGAGGUGGGUGUGCCCGCAAGGCGUGCACAGAUGCUGCAUGGCUGUCGUCAGCUCGUGCC